UCCGGUUUGUCACCGGCAGUCUCGCAUGAGUCCCCAACUAAAUGCUGGCAACAUGCGACGGGGGUUGCGCUCGUUGCGGGACUUAACCCAACAUCUCACGACACGAGCUGACGACAGCCAUGCAACACCUGUGUAGGGCCCUUGCGGACACCGUGUCUCCACGGCUUUUCCCUACAUGUCAAGCCCUGGUAAGGUUCUUCGCGUCGCGUCGAAUUAAGCAACAUGCUCCGCCGCUUGUGCAGGCCCCCGUCAAUUUCUUUGAGUUUUAACCUUGCGGCCGUACUCCCCAGGCGGAGGAAGGUGGGGAUGACGUUGUGGAAGCAAGCU
rnacentral:misc_RNA from 1 species